GACGAACCGUGCGAACGUUAUUCGGAAUCACUGGGCUUAAAGGGUGCGUAGGCGGGUUGCCAAGUCUGUGGUGAAAUCCUCCAGCUUAACUGGAGAACUGCCGUGGAUACUGGCGACCUCGAGGGGUGUAGGGGCUUGCGGAACUGUGCGUGGAGCGGUGAAAUGCGUUGAUAUGCACAGGAACUCCGGUGGCGAAAGCGGCGAGCUGGACACCUUCUGACGCUGAGGCACGAAAGCCAGGGGAGCAAACGGG
rnacentral:rRNA from 1 species